UCCUGCCUUGAAAGGAACCUAAACAAGCUUCUGCCUAUUUAACUUAUUCUGGGCAUGCUGGUUAUUCAUAUAUCAAACUAGCAUUUCCACAGGCUUUCUAGGAGUCAUUCCCAUCUAGUCAGUAUUGCAUGGAUACUUAAUACACCACCCUGACAUAGCUACAUUUCUUGCAACUGGAUGGACAACAGGUGUUCAAUAUGUACCUCUGGGGAAGGACUGUGAAUGGAAGUGGUUGGGAUUAUGCAUUUGUACCACGGAUCUGAAGUAGGACAUGAGAUGAUAGCAGGCAAGAGAAGAAAGUGCAAGGGCAAAUACCUCUACUUUAAUGGACACAGGUUCCUAGA